UUUUUGACUUUUUUUUUUUUUUUUGUCCUCAGAAUUAUGGCAGAUUUUCUAGCUUAAGAACAACUUAAUUGGAGCUCUCCAACAGUUAGUCCAUAGUCCUGUGGAAUUAUAGAAUGAUAUCAGUUGAUAUCUUAAGCACAGUGACCAACUUCUUACCUCCUAGUCUCAGAGAUCGAUUUUAUGUGGAAUUCGCCAUUCUCUUGCUUGCCUUGGAUAAUGAGAUAACAAAGCUGUUAUUCAUAUCAUUCAACUUUUUUUCUGCAGACAAAAGGACACAUCUUAGGUAAAUAGAAACCUCUGCUCAAAAAACAAAGGAAAAAGUUUUUGACUCAUCAUUUUGAGUGGAGUCUUACACAGAAGUUUUGAUCCCUCAAAUGAAGAGACUUACAGCAUUUGGGGGAAGUUGGACCCUGAGGCAGUAGUCACAGAGUGUCGCACUGGGGCUUCAUAAUCUAUGAACUCCUGAGUCCACUGAGUUCUAGGAACUAUGGAACAGUUAGCACAGUAUGUAUUUCUUUGAUAUUUGUAUUUCAAUAAAUAUAAAUAAUUCAAAUGUUUAAGUUAAAAAUGUUUUUUUAAAAAAUGAUAAAGUAACAUUGAAGACACAUCUGUUAUUUGUUGUUUUUCAUAUACUUAAUUGCCAGCUGAAUUUUGAUUUUCAGAGGAAUUCUUAUUAAAAUUAGUAGAUAAGGGAGUUCCUGUCUUGGCACAGUGGAAACAAUCUGACUACUAUC